CCACCUUGCUCAAUGCGGCCUCCGAGGUCGGA
rnacentral:scRNA from 1 species